rnacentral:rRNA from 4 species
GGUUAAGCGACUAAGCGUACACGGUGGAUGCCCUGGCAGUCAGAGGCGAUGAAGGGCGUGCUAAUCUGCGAUAAGCGCCGGUAAGGUGAUAUGAACCGUUAUAACCGGCGAUACCCGAAUGGGGAAACCCAGUGUGAUUCGUCACACUAUCAUUAACUGAAUCCAUAGGUUAAUGAGGCGAACCGGGGGAACUGAAACAUCUAAGUACCCCGAGGAAAAGAAAUCAACCGAGAUUCCCCCAGUAGCGGCGAGCGAACGGGGAGGAGCCCAGAGCCUGAAUCAGCAUGUGUGUUAGUGGAAGCGUCUGGAAAGGCGCGCGAUACAGGGUGACAGCCCCGUACACAAAAGCGCAUGUGCUGUGAGCUCGAUGAGUAGGGCGGGACACGUGGUAUCCUGUCUGAAUAUGGGGGGACCAUCCUCCAAGGCUAAAUACUCCUGACUGACCGAUAGUGAACCAGUACCGUGAGGGAAAGGCGAAAAGAACCCCGGCGAGGGGAGUGAAAAAGAACCUGAAACCGUGUACGUACAAGCAGUGGGAGCCCCACCACCAAAGCAUUCUCUGGUGUUGAAGGCCCUGCAAAGCAGCAUCGCGGUGGCGGAGCGUCGUUUGCGACGCCCAACACACAAAACAAGCGGUGAAUGCUUUGGGGUGGGGUGACUGCGUACCUUUUGUAUAAUGGGUCAGCGACUUAUAUUCUGUAGCAAGGUUAACCGAAUAGGGGAGCCGGAGGGAAACCGAGUCUUAAUUGGGCGUUAAGUUGCAGGGUAUAGACCCGAAACCCGGUGAUCUAGCCAUGGGCAGGUUGAAGGUUGGGUAACACUAACUGGAGGACCGAACCGACUAAUGUUGAAAAAUUAGCGGAUGACCUGUGGCUGGGGGUGAAAGGCCAAUCAAACCGGGAGAUAGCUGGUUCUCCCCGAAAGCUAUUUAGGUAGCGCCUCGUGAAUUCAUCUCCGGGGGUAGAGCACUGUUUCGGCUAGGGGGCCAUCCCGGCUUACCAACCCGAUGCAAACUGCGAAUACCGGAGAAUGUUAUCACGGGAGACACACGGCGGGUGCUAACGUCCGUCGUGAAGAGGGAAACAACCCAGACCGCCAGCUAAGGUCCCAAAGUCAUGGUUAAGUGGGAAACGAUGUGGGAAGGCCCAGACAGCCAGGAUGUUGGCUUAGAAGCAGCCAUCAUUUAAAGAAAGCGUAAUAGCUCACUGGUCGAGUCGGCCUGCGCGGAAGAUGUAACGGGGCUAAACCAUGCACCGAAGCUGCGGCAGCGAACGUAUCACUUAAAGCGAUUCAGCGGGUUACGAUUGACGGAGCGAAGCGACGUCAAAGCGUAUACAAAGUCGAGUCGGUUUAAGGAUACGUUCGUUGGGUAGGGGAGCGUUCUGUAAGCCCGUGAAGGUGGCCUGUGAGGGUUGCUGGAGGUAUCAGAAGUGCGAAUGCUGACAUAAGUAACGAUAAAGCGGGUGAAAAGCCCGCUCGCCGGAAGACCAAGGGUUCCUGUCCAACGUUAAUCGGGGCAGGGUGAGUCGACCCCUAAGGCGAGGCCGAAAGGCGUAGUCGAUGGGAAACGGGUUAAUAUUCCCGUACUUGGUGUUACUGCGAAGGGGGGACGGAGAAGGCUAUGUUGGCCGGGCGACGGUUGUCCCGGUUUAAGCGUGUAGGUGUGUGUUCCAGGUAAAUCCGGUUCACUUUAACACUGAGGCGUGACGACGAGGCACUACGGUGCUGAAGCAACAAAUGCCCUGCUUCCAGGAAAAGCCUCUAAGCAUCAGGUAACACGAAAUCGUACCCCAAACCGACACAGGUGGUCAGGUAGAGAAUACCAAGGCGCUUGAGAGAACUCGGGUGAAGGAACUAGGCAAAAUGGUGCCGUAACUUCGGGAGAAGGCACGCUGACACGUAGGUGAAGUGAUUUACUCAUGGAGCUGAAGUCAGUCGAAGAUACCAGCUGGCUGCAACUGUUUAUUAAAAACACAGCACUGUGCAAACACGAAAGUGGACGUAUACGGUGUGACGCCUGCCCGGUGCCGGAAGGUUAAUUGAUGGGGUCAGCGCAAGCGAAGCUCCUGAUCGAAGCCCCGGUAAACGGCGGCCGUAACUAUAACGGUCCUAAGGUAGCGAAAUUCCUUGUCGGGUAAGUUCCGACCUGCACGAAUGGCGUAAUGAUGGCCAGGCUGUCUCCACCCGAGACUCAGUGAAAUUGAACUCGCUGUGAAGAUGCAGUGUACCCGCGGCAAGACGGAAAGACCCCGUGAACCUUUACUAUAGCUUGACACUGAACAUUGAGCCUUGAUGUGUAGGAUAGGUGGGAGGCUUUGAAGUGUGGACGCCAGUCUGCAUGGAGCCGACCUUGAAAUACCACCCUUUAAUGUUUGAUGUUCUAACGUGGACCCGUAAUCCGGGUUGCGGACAGUGUCUGGUGGGUAGUUUGACUGGGGCGGUCUCCUCCUAAAGAGUAACGGAGGAGCACGAAGGUUGGCUAAUCCUGGUCGGACAUCAGGAGGUUAGUGCAAUGGCAUAAGCCAGCUUGACUGCGAGCGUGACGGCGCGAGCAGGUGCGAAAGCAGGUCAUAGUGAUCCGGUGGUUCUGAAUGGAAGGGCCAUCGCUCAACGGAUAAAAGGUACUCCGGGGAUAACAGGCUGAUACCGCCCAAGAGUUCAUAUCGACGGCGGUGUUUGGCACCUCGAUGUCGGCUCAUCACAUCCUGGGGCUGAAGUAGGUCCCAAGGGUAUGGCUGUUCGCCAUUUAAAGUGGUACGCGAGCUGGGUUUAGAACGUCGUGAGACAGUUCGGUCCCUAUCUGCCGUGGGCGCUGGAGAACUGAGGGGGGCUGCUCCUAGUACGAGAGGACCGGAGUGGACGCAUCACUGGUGUUCGGGUUGUCAUGCCAAUGGCACUGCCCGGUAGCUAAAUGCGGAAGAGAUAAGUGCUGAAAGCAUCUAAGCACGAAACUUGCCCCGAGAUGAGUUCUCCCUGAGACUUAGAGUCUCCUGAAGGAACGUUGAAGACGACGACGUUGAUAGGCCGGGUGUGUAAGCGCAGCGAUGCGUUGAGCUAACCGGUACUAAUGAACCGUGAGGCUUAACCUU